rnacentral:rRNA from 1 species
UACGGGGGGGGCAAGCGUUGUUCGGAAUUACUGGGCGUAAAGGGCUCGUAGGUGGCCAACUAAGUCAGACGUGAAAUCCCUCGGCUUAACCGGGGAACUGCGUCUGAUACUGGAUGGCUAGAGUUUGGGAGAGGGAUGCGGAAUUCCAGGUGUAGCGGUGAAAUGCGUAGAUAUCUGGAGGAACACCGGUGGCGAAGGCGGCAUCCUGGACCAACACUGACGCUGAGGUGCGAAAGCGUGGGGAGCAAACAGG